rnacentral:rRNA from 1 species
UACGGGGGGAGCAAGCGUUGUUCGGAUUUACUGGGCGUAAAGGGCGCGUAGGCGGUCAGCACAAGUCAGUUGUGAAAUCUCCGGGCUUAACUCGGAAAGGUCAACUGAUACUGUGCGACUAGAGUGCAGAAGGGGCAACUGGAAUUCUCGGUGUAGCGGUGGAAUGCGUAGAUAUCGGGAGGAACACCAGUGGCGAAGGCGGUUGCCUGGAGCUUUGCUGACGCUGAGGCGCGAAAGCGUGGGGAGCGAUCCGG